ACUUAAAUAGCUUAUAUAGAGCGCGACACUGAAGAUGUUGAUGAGGUAUUUUACCUUUGAGUA
rnacentral:tRNA from 1 species